GAUGAAGAACGUAGCGAAAUGCGAUACUUGGUGUGAAUUGCAGAAUCCCGUGAACCAUCGAGUCUUUGAACGCAAGUUGCGCCCGAAGCCGUCAGGCCGAGGGCACGCCUGCCUGGGCGUCACACGCCGUUGCCCCCCCGCGCCCCGCACCCAACUCUUUGGGAGCGACCGCGGGGCGGGCUGAUGAUGGCCUCCCGUGCGCUCCGCCGCGCGGUUGGCCCAAAUACCGAGUCCCCGGCGACGUGCGCCACGACGAUCGGUGGUUGAGAGACCUCUGUCGCAAGUCGUGCGCGCCCGUCGCGUCACGCGGGCUCGCAUAGCGCCGCGCGCCGCACCCGGUGCGGAGCUUUCAACGCGACCCCAGGUCAGGCGGGGUUACCCGCUGAAUUUAAGCAUAUCAAUAAGCGGAGGA
rnacentral:misc_RNA from 1 species